UACUUACACUCGCCGAGGGUGUUCCAGAGCUUGAUGGUGUUGUCGCGGGAGGCGGAGACGAUCUGGCGGUUGUCGACGGAGAAGGCGACCGAGAUGACGUCCUUGGUGUGGCCGACGAAGCGGCGGGUGGUGAGGCCGGUGGAGAGGUCCCAGAGGCGGAGCUCGCCGUCCCAGGAGCCCGAGAGCGCGAACUGGCCGUCGGAGCUGAUGACGACGUCCUGGACGAAGUGGCCGUGGCCGGUGAGGCGGCGGAAGGGCACGGCGUAGUCGGUGCCGACGGUGCCGUCGCCGAGGGACGCGACCGGGUUGGUGAGGUCCCAGACCAGCAGCGACUUGUCGCGGGAGCCGGACACGAUGUAGGGCGAGUUGUCGAUCGGCGCCGCGAUCGCCGUCACCACGUCGUUGUGGCCGCGCAUCGUGCCCACCAGGGUGAGCGACUCCUGCAUGUUCGCCAUGGCUGCCGCGGGGAGAUUGGUGGGGCGGAGCUCGCGGCG
rnacentral:lncRNA from 1 species